rnacentral:rRNA from 1 species
UUAAGCGACUAAGCGUACACGGUGGAUGCCCUGGCAGUCAGAGGCGAUGAAGGACGUGCUAAUCUGCGAUAAGCGUCGGUAAGGUGAUAUGAACCGUUAUAACCGGCGAUGUCCGAAUGGGGAAACCCAGUGUGUUUCGACACACUAUCAUUAACUGAAUCCAUAGGUUAAUGAGGCGAACCGGGGGAACUGAAACAUCUAAGUACCCCGAGGAAAAGAAAUCAACCGAGAUUCCCCCAGUAGCGGCGAGCGAACGGGGAGCAGCCCAGAGCCUGAAUCAGUGUGUGUGUUAGUGGAAGCGUCUGGAAAGGCGCGCGAUACAGGGUGACAGCCCCGUACACAAAAAUGCACAUACUGUGAGCUCGAUGAGUAGGGCGGGACACGUGGUAUCCUGUCUGAAUAUGGGGGGACCAUCCUCCAAGGCUAAAUACUCCUGACUGACCGAUAGUGAACCAGUACCGUGAGGGAAAGGCGAAAAGAACCCCGGCGAGGGGAGUGAAAAAGAACCUGAAACCGUGUACGUACAAGCAGUGGGAGCCCUGAUUUAUCAGGGUGACUGCGUACCUUUUGUAUAAUGGGUCAGCGACUUAUAUUCUGUAGCAAGGUUAACCGAAUAGGGGAGCCGGAGGGAAACCGAGUCUUAACUGGGCGUUAAGUUGCAGGGUAUAGACCCGAAACCCGGUGAUCUAGCCAUGGGCAGGUUGAAGGUUGGGUAACACUAACUGGAGGACCGAACCGACUAAUGUUGAAAAAUUAGCGGAUGACUUGUGGCUGGGGGUGAAAGGCCAAUCAAACCGGGAGAUAGCUGGUUCUCCCCGAAAGCUAUUUAGGUAGCGCCUCGUGAAUUCAUCUCCGGGGGUAGAGCACUGUUUCGGCAAGGGGGUCAUCCCGACUUACCAACCCGAUGCAAACUGCGAAUACCGGAGAAUGUUAUCACGGGAGACACACGGCGGGUGCUAACGUCCGUCGUGAAGAGGGAAACAACCCAGACCGCCAGCUAAGGUCCCAAAGUCAUGGUUAAGUGGGAAACGAUGUGGGAAGGCCCAGACAGCCAGGAUGUUGGCUUAGAAGCAGCCAUCAUUUAAAGAAAGCGUAAUAGCUCACUGGUCGAGUCGGCCUGCGCGGAAGAUGUAACGGGGCUAAACCAUGCACCGAAGCUGCGGCAGCGACACUGUGUGUUGUUGGGUAGGGGAGCGUUCUGUAAGCCUGUGAAGGUGUGCUGUGAGGCAUGCUGGAGGUAUCAGAAGUGCGAAUGCUGACAUAAGUAACGAUAAAGCGGGUGAAAAGCCCGCUCGCCGGAAGACCAAGGGUUCCUGUCCAACGUUAAUCGGGGCAGGGUGAGUCGACCCCUAAGGCGAGGCCGAAAGGCGUAGUCGAUGGGAAACAGGUUAAUAUUCCUGUACUUGGUGUUACUGCGAAGGGGGGACGGAGAAGGCUAUGUUGGCCGGGCGACGGUUGUCCCGGUUUAAGCGUGUAGGCUGGUUUUCCAGGCAAAUCCGGAAAAUCAAGGCUGAGGCGUGAUGACGAGGCACUACGGUGCUGAAGCAACAAAUGCCCUGCUUCCAGGAAAAGCCUCUAAGCAUCAGGUAACAUCAAAUCGUACCCCAAACCGACACAGGUGGUCAGGUAGAGAAUACCAAGGCGCUUGAGAGAACUCGGGUGAAGGAACUAGGCAAAAUGGUGCCGUAACUUCGGGAGAAGGCACGCUGAUACGUAGGUGAAGUCCCUCGCGGAUGGAGCUGAAAUCAGUCGAAGAUACCAGCUGGCUGCAACUGUUUAUUAAAAACACAGCACUGUGCAAACACGAAAGUGGACGUAUACGGUGUGACGCCUGCCCGGUGCCGGAAGGUUAAUUGAUGGGGUCAGCGCAAGCGAAGCUCUUGAUCGAAGCCCCGGUAAACGGCGGCCGUAACUAUAACGGUCCUAAGGUAGCGAAAUUCCUUGUCGGGUAAGUUCCGACCUGCACGAAUGGCGUAAUGAUGGCCAGGCUGUCUCCACCCGAGACUCAGUGAAAUUGAACUCGCUGUGAAGAUGCAGUGUACCCGCGGCAAGACGGAAAGACCCCGUGAACCUUUACUAUAGCUUGACACUGAACACUGGUCCUUGAUGUGUAGGAUAGGUGGGAGGCUUUGAAGUGUGGACGCCAGUCUGCAUGGAGCCGUCCUUGAAAUACCACCCUUUAAUGGCUGGUGUUCUAACGUUGGCCCCUUACCGGGGUUGCGGACAGUGUCUGGUGGGUAGUUUGACUGGGGCGGUCUCCUCCUAAAGAGUAACGGAGGAGCACGAAGGUUGGCUAAUCCUGGUCGGACAUCAGGAGGUUAGUGCAAUGGCAUAAGCCAGCUUGACUGCGAGCGUGACGGCGCGAGCAGGUGCGAAAGCAGGUCAUAGUGAUCCGGUGGUUCUGAAUGGAAGGGCCAUCGCUCAACGGAUAAAAGGUACUCCGGGGAUAACAGGCUGAUACCGCCCAAGAGUUCAUAUCGACGGCGGUGUUUGGCACCUCGAUGUCGGCUCAUCACAUCCUGGGGCUGAAGUAGGUCCCAAGGGUAUGGCUGUUCGCCAUUUAAAGUGGUACGCGAGCUGGGUUUAGAACGUCGUGAGACAGUUCGGUCCCUAUCUGCCGUGGGCGCUGGAGAACUGAGGGGGGCUGCUCCUAGUACGAGAGGACCGGAGUGGACGCAUCACUGGUGUUCGGGUUGUCAUGCCAAUGGCACUGCCCGGUAGCUAAAUGCGGAAGAGAUAAGUGCUGAAAGCAUCUAAGCACGAAACUUGCCCCGAGAUGAGUUCUCCCUGACUGGAGAGUCCUGAAGGAACGUUGAAGACGACGACGUUGAUAGGCCGGGUGUGUAAGCGCAGCGAUGCGUUGAGCUAACCGGUACUAAUGAACCGUGAGGCUUAACCUU